UUACGGCCAUAUAACGUUGAAACACCGAUUCCGGUACACACCGACGUUAAGCAAGGUCGAGCCUGGUCAGUACCUAGAUGAGUGACUACUUGGAAGUACUAGAUGCUGUAA